UGGGGAAUAUUGCGCAAUGGGGGGAACCCUGACGCAGCCAUGCCGCGUGAAUGAAGAAGGCCUUCGGGUUGUAAAGUUCUUUCGGUAUUGAGGAAGGUUGAUGUGUUGAUAGCACAUCAAAUUGACGUUAAAUACAGAAGAAGCACCGGCUAACUCCGUGCCAGCAGCCGCGGUAAUACGGAGGGUGCGAGCGUUAAUCGGAAUAACUGGGCGUAAAGGGCACGCAGGCGGUUAUUUAAGUGAGGUGUGAAAGCCCCGGGCUUAACCUGGGAAUUGCAUUUCAGACUGGGUAACUAGAGUACUUUAGGGAGGGGUAGAAUUCCACGUGUAGCGGUGAAAUGCGUAGAGAUGUGGAGGAAUACCGAAGGCGAAGGCAGCCCCUUGGGAAUGUACUGACGCUCAUGUGCGAAAGCGUGGGGAGCAAACAGGAUUAGAUACCCUGGUAGUCCACGCUGUAAACGCUGUCGAUUUGGGGGUUGGGGUUUAACUCUGGCGCCCGUAGCUAACGUGAUAAAUCGACCGCCUGGGGAGUACGGCCGCAAGGUUA
rnacentral:rRNA from 1 species